UACAGAGGAGCCAAGCGUUGUCCGGAUUGACUGGGCGUAAAGCGCACGCAGGCGGUUGCGCGCGUGGGGGGUGAAAUCUGGCCGCUUAACGGCCAGGCGCCAUCCCAUACGGCGCGACUGGAGGGCUGCAGAGGUCGAUGGAAUUGCCGGUGUAGUGGUGAAAUUCGUAGAUAUCGGGAGGAACACCGGUGGCGAAGGCGGCGACCUGGGUGGAUACUGACGCUGAGGUGCGAAAGCGUGGGGAGCAAACAGG
rnacentral:rRNA from 1 species